GAGAAGGGGAGGGGCGGGAAGGAGGAAGGGCGGCCCAAUACGUCAUCAUUCCCCCUCCCCUCCCAACCCCGAGUUGGGAAAGAGGAGCUGCGUGGGGCGGGGGCGGCGGGACGUGUGGGAGAGCGACAGCAUCUAGAAAGGAAGAAGAGGCUUGGAGAUUUGAAAAGGGCAGUAAAAAAAGAGCCUGAUUCAUCCAAACCAUAGUAAUUCAGAUAUCCUACUGAUUCCAUGCGCCUCGCUUUGAAGUCAGCAUGCUUGGGAUUGUCAACUUUCUAGGGUUAACCCCGCCCCGCCCUCCGCUUCCUGGAUGUGACCCCCAAACGGUGACGUGUGACAAAAGUACUACUGCAAAUUAUGCAAGAAAGCUGACUGUGUAUUGUCUUCGAAUUAAUGCGAACUAAGAAGAAUGUGCAUACAAACCGGCCACUGUGAUGUGCACGUUUCGCUGGAUAUCAUAGAUAAUAGGCAAACAUUAAGAGGAUGGAACUCACUGGUCUGGUCUGGUCAAUAUGCAUAACUUCCAAAUCAUGUUGGACGACAUGAGUAUUCCACCCAUUGACUCGUCAAUGUACAUAAGCUCUUAGUGGAGGAUCCACGUGCUGAUUUGGAAGUAUGUGAAAACCCCUCUUGAUUGCUGAGUGCUCUGCACGUUCUCCAUAGCAUCCCUCGGAGGCUAUGCAUGCUGACCGGAAAACAUGCAAAAUCCCUUGUCCUAUCUGUUCAUUUGUGCACAUUCUCCAGUAUGAUCUAUGAAUGGGUGGGUGGCUAGUUUUUAUGCAUUCCUUCAUUAACCACUCUUCUCUCUUCCCCCUCCCCCCCACUUUUCUACACACCCACACCUCUGUGGCAGUGGCAGCCUGAUCCUGGAGAGAAGGAGACUGCAGGGUUGGCCUGUGCAUCUCUCCUUAUCAGGAAAGAAUACUUCUGAAAAAUGGCCACAAAACCAAGUUUUCACCUAUUAUGAUUGUUUUAUAAUAUUGUAUUUAUUAACUUUACUAACCACCUUUUGUUUGAGGGACCCCUGGGUAGGGUGUGUGUGUGUAUCUGUCUGUAUAUAUAAAUGCACUCACACACUUACAAAACAACAGGAAUGCGAAUUUGUAAUCGUGUAUUUGUUCUCACAAUUCCCUUUUGCCACUGUUAGCAAAUCAGCAAUUUUACUGAUUUGAGUGGGAUCAGAAAUUUUAUUGUGGCUUUAAUUAGGGUUGCUCUUUCUAAACUGGCCUGACCAUUUCUCCUCUCAGUUUCUGUGCUAACAGUAGGCAAUUUACAUCUACAUCUGUUUUAAUAUAUUUACUUUGUUUGAUCUAAGAUCGUAAAUAAACAACUAACUAACUAUAUUUACUAUAUUUUUAAUAUAUUUAAUAUACUUUUAUUUAUAAGUAUGUAUAUAUUUACGUACUUACAGCUUUUUAUUUUUCUGGGAGACUGAUAACUAUGUUCUGAUAGUUGAUUUUCUGGUUGCUUAUUAGGAUUUCUCAUAAAUACAGGUUUUCUGGUGCUGAAUUUCCACUCUUGUCCCCCCAAGGUGAUUUUGGCUGUGGUCACAACAUAUUAUGACCAUGGGUAUGCAAGACCCAUGUGAAUGAACAAUGAUUGUGUCUGGGCAGUGCUUUGUGUAGUGUUUUCUCAACAGUUGAAUGCUCUGUUUCUCUUCUAAAGAGCUAUUGAUUGAUAACUGCUGGUGCCAAUAGCUGAGCAAUUCUUGAGCACUACUAACAUUUACUUUUAUCACAGAUCCAAGUUACUGCAUUUCAUUCAACACAAAGCCAAGCCACUGUAUUAAUAUCUGAAUAAUUUAUAAUUAGAAAUAAUGUCUAUUUUCUCAAA